rnacentral:rRNA from 1 species
UACGAAGGGUGCAAGCGUUACUCGGAAUCACUGGGCGUAAAGCGUGCGUAGGCGGUUUCUUAAGUCUGUCGUGAAAGCCCUGGGCUCAACCUGGGAAUGGCGAUGGAUACUGGGAGGCUAGAGUGUGAUAGAGGAUGGUGGAAUUCCCGGUGUAGCGGUGAAAUGCGUAGAGAUCGGGAGGAACACCAGUGGCGAAGGCGGCCAUCUGGAUCAACACUGACGCUGAGGCACGAAAGCGUGGG